rnacentral:rRNA from 1 species
GGAUUAGAUACCCUGGUAGUCCAUGCCGUAAACGUUGGGCGCUAGGUGUGGGCCUCAUUCCACGAGGUCUGUGCCGCAGCUAACGCAUUAAGCGCCCCGCCUGGGGAGUACGGCCGCAAGGCUAAAACUCAAAGGAAUUGACGGGGGCCCGCACAAGCGGCGGAGCAUGCGGAUUAAUUCGAUGCAACGCGAAGAACCUUACCAAGGCUUGACAUAUACCGGACGCACUCAGAGAUGGGUGUUCCCUUUGUGGCUGGUAUACAGGUGGUGCAUGGUUGUCGUCAGCUCGUGCCG